rnacentral:misc_RNA from 1 species
GAUGAAGAAUGCAGCGAAAUGCGAUAAAUAAUGUGAAUUGCAGAAUUCAGUGAAUCAUCGAGUCUUUGAACGCACAUUGCGCCCCCUGGUAUUCCGGGGGGCAUGCCUGUCCGAGCGUCAUUGCUGCCCUCAAGCACGGCUUGUGUGUUGGGCCCCCGUCCCCCCCUCCCGGGGGACGGGCCCGAAAGGCAGCGGCGGCACCGCGUCCGGUCCUCGAGCGUAUGGGGCUUUGUCACCCGCUCUGUAGGCCCGGCCGGCGCCUGCCGACCACCAUCAAUCUUUUUUCAGGUUGACCUCGGAUCAGGUAGGGAUACCCGCUGAACUUAAGCAUAUCAAUAAGCGGAGGA